rnacentral:tRNA from 3 species
AGUAAGCUAUUUGAGGUAUUGAUAUGGCUGGAUUUCUAAAAUUCAUGGUUAUUAGUGCUUGUCUAUUACUUGCUA